UGAGUUGCAGGUUUCCCCAUUACUUUGUGUGCCCUUUUGGCAAUGAACCUCAAUCCUGAUAUGCAACACCUCAAUUAUUCAAGCAUUCUGGGGACUACUGUUAGAAAAGUUUGCUAACCAUUCUAAGUUUUGUUUGUUCUGUGAUGUAAGCAAAACCAGACUGGGGUGAGACCACUUAUGAAACCCCGGGCAUCAAAGCAAUGAACCAUCAACUCCUUCUGGAAUCUAACAUUUAAAUAAUACAAUUCUUUAUAUAAGACGAGAGCUCCAUUUUCCCCUCUAAAUGAAAACAAAAAAGCAAAAAAUAUAAGUUGAAGCAGAAAACCAUUUUGGCAUCCAUCACCGGAUGGACACAAUGGACCAGAACUCUUUUAUUUUGAGAAAGUUGGAUGCUUCACCCAAGAGGGUUGAAGUCUCUGGAAACUGAUUAUAGGUGAGAAACCUGCUUAGACCAAGAUAGUAACUUGCUGAAGUUAAGUUUUAGUCACUAGGAAACAUGUUCUGUUUCACUUGUAAACAUCUGUGUGUCUCCUAUUCUUAUUAACACUUAAAUCUCUGUGCUUUGUUAAUAAACUUAGCUCUUGUCUUAUUACAAAACCAUCUCAGGGGUGUGUAAUAAACUGAAGGGUAAAAUCCUCAGCCAAGCUAACAGGCUGAUGAGUGCUCUGUCUCUGGAUGCAGUGAACUUGAAUACUUCUAUGGGGGUCCGGUGAGAGGGCUGGACAUUGCGGAGAGAUGUCUCUGGGGAACUUGGGAAUUGGGGUUCAUUGAUUGUUACCUGCAAGUCGAGGUUUGGGCAGGCGGAGUCCUGAGGAGUUUGCUAGCAAGGCAAACAAGCUGGGAGCUCACGCAUAGCUUAGCAGCAGCAAAGCUCACUCUUGCCAGGGCAGAGCAGUAACACACUGGCUCACAGUUCUGGGUAAGCGGAGCAAGGUGUCACAGCAUCACAUCACAAAGGAGAGAUGUUAACAAUAGGGCCAAGAGACAGUUCUACCGUACAUCACAUGCUAAUGGCAAAGUUCUGCCUGUGCCAGAGGCUUCAGGGCAGGAAAGCCUGGAGUCCUCAUUUCACCUUUUCUACAGAGGAUUUCCUGCCUGGGAGGUUGAAUUCCACUGACUAAAACCCUGCAGGAAAAACAAGACCCCCCCCCCACCCCUCACCCCCAUGUAGGCAAGGAAUGUUAAGGCUCUAGACUGUAGUAAGGAAUGCAAAGUUGGUAAGCAAGUCGUUUAUGCCUUGUGAUGAAAGUAAAAAUAGGACUACACCUCUGUGUUAAAUAGAUGUGGCUAAAGCAAAAGACAGUGGGAAAUGGACCAAAGGAGUACAAUCAUCUAUGAAACUAGAGUGUGUGUAUUUAUCCAUUCUAAGCAUAAGCAAGAAGCCAGCUAUAAAAUGCUUCUCAGAGGAGUUGCAGCCACAAGCAGCCUAUAGUAAAUUGGCCUGGUUCUGCAUGACACUGAUAUGAAGUGGUAUGAUUUCCAUUAGACUGGGUACAUUGGACGCCAUCUCUGGGUAAGAGCAGCUUCCCACGCUGCACUGAUUUUUGGUAUACUUUAUAGGUACCAUUUCUUCAACCUUUACUAAUGCUCUGGUGCAUUUUUUCAGGGGUAAGUGCUACUCCGUGUAAGGGUUACAGAAUUGGGUAAGACUAGGUCAAGAUUUAUUUCUAAAAGUGGAAACUACACUACAGUGUCUAUUGGUACAUAAGUGGAUUAAGGCCAUUUUAUAAGAAACCCAUAAGGUGUGUGUCUGUCUAUCAUGAACACUGCUUAUGAGUUCUGUGUGUCAGCAUUUCUAGUCUUUCCGUAUUAAUUAUGUUUUAAUAUGGAAAACGGGAGCGAUUAAUAUAGUUAAAUACACUAUAAAUUUUUUUGCAAGACA
rnacentral:lncRNA from 1 species